rnacentral:rRNA from 1 species
GACGAACGCUGGCGGCGUGCUUAACACAUGCAAGUCGAACGGAAAGGCCCCUUUGGGGGUACUCGAGUGGCGAACGGGUGAGUAACACGUGAGUAACCUGCCCUUGACUUCGGGAUAACUUCAGGAAACUGGGGCUAAUACCGGAUAGGAAUCCUUGCUGCAUGGUGGGGGUUGGAAAGCUUCGGCGGUUUUGGAUGGACUCGCGGCUUAUCAGCUUGUUGGUGGGGUAGUGGCUUACCAAGGCUUUGACGGGUAGCCGGCCUGAGAGGGCGACCGGCCACAUUGGGACUGAGAUACGGCCCAGACUCCUACGGGAGGCAGCAGUGGGGAAUAUUGCACAAUGGGCGGAAGCCUUAUGCAGCAACGCCGCGUGCGGGAUGACGGCCUUCGGGUUGUAAACCGCUUUCAGCAGGGGCGAAGCUUUUGUGACGGUACCUGCAGAAGAAGCACCGGCUAACUACGUG